rnacentral:rRNA from 1 species
AAUGGAGGCAACUCUGAUCCAGCCAUGCCGCGUGUGUGAAGAAGGCCCUAGGGUUGUAAAACACUUUCAAUCGUGAAGAUAAUGACUGUAGCGAUACAAGAAGCCCCGGCUAACUCCGUGCCAGCAGCCGCGGUAAUACGGAGGGGGCGAGCGUUAUUCGGAAUCACUGGGCGUAAAGCGUGCGUAGGCGGCUUAGCAAGUCAGAAGUGAAAUCCCAGGGCUCAACCCUGGAACUGCUUUUGAAACUGCUUCGCUAGAAUAUUGGAGAGGUCAGGAGAAUUCCUAGUGUAGAGGUGAAAUUCGUAGAUAUUAGGAGGAAUACCAGUGGCGUAGGCGCCUGACUGGACAAUUAUUGACGCUGAGGUACGAAAGCGUGGGGAGCAAACAGGAUU